AAACACACACUCUGCAUUAUAUACACACUCUGCAUUAUAUACACAGAGUGUGUGUAUAUAAUGCAGAUUGUUUGUAU